GAUCGGUGUCACUAUACACAAUCCGUCCGUUUCCGACGACCGACUUAGCCACCGGUGUUGCGUUGUCGCGCAAGCGUGUUGAAUCGAGAGGAGCGGGCUAGGGGUCGCCGGGAGAAAGAGGGAGUCCCGGCAAAUCAAUACGUAUAUAUCCGCUAGUAACCGGCCAGUUGGGGCUCAUCCUUCGCGACAGAAGCAUCGAGAUCCGAAACUCGUCGAAAUUCGUCCGGAUUCAUUUUUCAUCCGCUCGAUCGUUUCCUUUCCCUCGACUCUCGCCACUCUCGAUCGAUUCUCUCCUCCUUUGUUUUACGAAGGAAAAACGACGUCACGCGAGAAUAUCCGGUGCAUCAUCACGCCAGGCAGGCGGCUAUAUAUCGGCUCAAGGUGCAAGGUGCUACCGCUCGGAAAGACGUUCGGGGCUCGGGUUAACGAUUGACGAGGAAAAGUAAGUAACGAGAGAAGAGGAACGAGCGAAUCCGGUGGAAGAAAUUGCUGGAAGUGUUCGAAAGUGAAGGGAGA